rnacentral:rRNA from 1 species
ACAAUGAAGAGUUUGAUCCUGGCUCAGGAUGAACGCUAGCUACAGGCUUAACACAUGCAAGUCGAGGGGCAGCAGGAUCUAGCAAUAGAUUGCUGGCGACCGGCGCACGGGUGAGUAACACGUAUCCAACCUGCCGAUAACUCGGGGAUAGCCUUUCGAAAGAAAGAUUAAUACCCGAUGGUAUAAUUAGACCGCAUGGUCUUGUUAUUAAAGAAUUUCGGUUAUCGAUGGGGAUGCGUUCCAUUAGGCAGUUGGUGAGGUAACGGCUCACCAAACCUUCGAUGGAUAGGGGUUCUGAGAGGAAGGUCCCCCACAUUGGAACUGAGACACGGUCCAAACUCCUACGGGAGGCAGCAGUGAGGAAUAUUGGUCAAUGGGCGAGAGCCUGAACCAGCCAAGUAGCGUGA